AUUUCUCUCAAUUCGGCAGUUUCCUCCAACCUCGGCGCAAGGCUUCGGACCUGAUCUGUAACCCAAAGAAUACCAUAUAGCAGAUCUGAAUUAAAAAAAAAAGAAGAGAGCACACCAUCGCAGAUCAUGCUUGAGGACCUCCGGAAUCGCACCAAACCAUCGCA